GACGAACGCUGGCGGCGUGCUUAACACAUGCAAGUCGAAGGGAGUGGCGAACGGGUGAGUAACACGUGAGUAACCUGCCCUUUUCUUUGGGAUAAGCCUGGGAAACUGGGUCUAAUACUGGAUGGAUUGGGAUGGGCUCGCGGCUUAUCGGCUUGGUGGUGGGGUGAUGGCUUACCAAGGCUUUGACGGGUAGCCGGCCUGAGAGGGUGGUCGGUCACACGGGGACGGAGAUACGGCCCAGAGUCCGAAGGGAGGCAGAAGUGGGGGAUAUGGCACAAUGGACGAAAGUCUGAUGCAGCGACGUCGUGGGGGGGAUGAAGGCCUUCGGGUUGUAAACUCCUUGCGCAAGCGGAAUGGUAGUGGGUAAAGAAGCGCCGGCUAACUACGUGCCAGCAGCCGCGGUAAUUC
rnacentral:rRNA from 1 species